rfam:Branchiostoma floridae genomic scaffold BRAFLscaffold_195, whole genome shotgun sequence.
GUGUGUAGUUAGUGUACAUCAACCGAAACAGGUGUGUUUACCUGUGUGUGGAUGGUGUUCAGCACCAGGGACAGGUGUGUUUACAU